rnacentral:lncRNA from 1 species
GAUUUAGAAUACUAUAGUCAUGGUUAUGAUGUGAACCUUUAUUUAUACACUAUAGUUACCGGAUGUGCUGUUUUAGCAUGCCUAGUGGUUAUUGUAUGUACAAUUUACAUUACAUGUAAGUUAACAAUCAUGAGGAGAAAUAUCUCGUGGACUGAUAGCUCAAUUAUUCAGAAAAGAAUCCGAACAUCAGCAUUAACCGUAGUUCUCAUUUGUAUUAUAUUUUU